rnacentral:rRNA from 1 species
AUUGAACGCUGGCGGCAUGCCUUACACAUGCAAGUCGAACGGCAGCACGGGAGCUUGCUCCUGGUGGCGAGUGGCGAACGGGUGAGUAAUACAUCGGAACGUACCCUGAAGUGGGGGAUAACGUAGCGAAAGUUACGCUAAUACCGCAUAUUCUGUGAGCAGGAAAGAGGGGGAUCGCAAGACCUCUUGCUUUAGGAGCGGCCGAUGUCGGAUUAGCUAGUUGGUGAGGUAAAGGCUCACCAAGGCGACGAUCCGUAGCGGGUCUGAGAGGAUGAUCCGCCACACUGGGACUGAGACACGGCCCGGACUCCUACGGGAGGCAGCAGUGGGGAAUUUUGGACAAUGGGCGCAAGCCUGAUCCAGCCAUGCCGCGUGAGUGAAGAAGGCCUC